GUGCCAGCAGCCGCGGUAAUACGGAGGGUGCAAGCGUUAAUCGGAAUUACUGGGCGUAAAGCGCGUGUAGGCGGUCUUGUAAGUCGGAUGUGAAAGCCCCGGGCUCAACCUGGGAACUGCAUUCGAUACUGCAGGACUAGAGUAUGGAAGAGGGAAGCGGAAUUCCGGGUGUAGCGGUGAAAUGCGUAGAUAUCCGGAGGAACACCAGUGGCGAAGGCGGCUUCCUGGUCCAAUACUGACGCUGAGACGCGAAAGCGUGGGGAGCAAACAGGAUUAGAUACCCGCGUAGUCC
rnacentral:rRNA from 1 species